ACGAACGCUGGCGGCACGCUUAACACAUGCAAGUCGAACGAGAGAAGAGAAGCUUGCUUUUCUGAUCUAGUGGCGGACGGGUGAGUAACACGUGAGCAAUCUGCCUUUCAGAGGGGGAUACCGAUUGGAAACGAUCGUUAAUACCGCAUAACAUAAUUGAACCGCAUGAUUUGAUUAUCAAAGAUUUAUCGCUGAAAGAUGAGCUCGCGUCUGAUUAGCUAGUUGGUAAGGUAACGGCUUACCAAGGCGACGAUCAGUAGCCGGACUGAGAGGUUGAUCGGCCACAUUGGGACUGAGACACGGCCCAGACUCCUACGGGAGGCAGCAGUGGGGAAUAUUGCACAAUGGAGGAAACUCUGAUGCAGCGAUGCCGCGUGAGGGAAGAAGGUUUUAGGAUUGUAAACCUCUGUCUUCAGGGACGAAAAAAGACGGUACCUGAGGAGGAAGCUCCGGCUAACUACGUGCCAGCAGCCGCGGUAAUACGUAGGGAGCGAGCGUUGUCCGGAAUUACUGGGUGUAAAGGGAGCGUAGGCGGGAUCGCAAGUCAGAUGUGAAAACUAUGGGCUUAACCCAUAAACUGCAUUUGAAACUGUGGUUCUUGAGUGAAGUAGAGGUAAGCGGAAUUCCUAGUGUAGCGGUGAAAUGCGUAGAUAUUAGGAGGAACAUCAGUGGCGAAGGCGGCUUACUGGGCUUUAACUGACGCUGAGGCUCGAAAGCGUGGGGAGCAAACAGGAUUAGAUACCCUGGUAGUCCACGCCGUAAACGAUGAUUACUAGGUGUUGGAGGAUUGACCCCUUCAGUGCCGCAGUUAACACAAUAAGUAAUCCACCUGGGGAGUACGACCGCAAGGUUGAAACUCAAAGGAAUUGACGGGGGCCCGCACAAGCAGUGGAGUAUGUGGAUUAAUUCGAAGCAACGCGAAGAACCUUACCAGGUCUUGACAUCGUAUGCAUAGCUCAGAGAUGAGUGAAAUCUCUUCGGAGACAUAUAGACAGGUGGUGCAUGGUUGUCGUCAGCUCGUGUCGUGAGAUGUUGGGUUAAGUCCCGCAACGAGCGCAACCCUUACUGUUAGUUGCUACGCAAGAGCACUCUAGCAGGACUGCCGUUGACAAAACGGAGGAAGGUGGGGAUGACGUCAAAUCAUCAUGCCCCUUAUGACCUGGGCCUCACACGUACUACAAUGGCUGUCAACAGAGGGAAGCAAAGCCGCGAGGUGGAGCAAACCCCUAAAAGCAGUCUUAGUUCGGAUUGUAGGCUGCAACCCGCCUACAUGAAGUCGGAAUUGCUAGUAAUCGCAGAUCAGCAUGCUGCGGUGAAUACGUUCCCGGGCCUUGUACACACCGCCCGUCACGCCAUGGGAGUCGGUAACACCCGAAGCCUGUAGUCUAACCGCAAGGAGGACGCAGUCGAAGGUGGGAUUGAUGACUGGGGUG
rnacentral:rRNA from 1 species